GACGGAGGGUGCAAGCGUUAUCCGGAAUGAUUGGGCGUAAAGCGUUCGCAGGUGGCUAUUCAAGUCUGCUGUCAAAGACCGGGGCUUAACCCCAGAGAGGCAGUGGAAACUGAAUGGCUGGAGUGCAGACCGGGUAGAGGGAAUUCCCAGUGUAGCGGUGAAAUGCGUAGAGAUUGGGAAGAACACCGGUGGCGAAAGCGCUCUGCUGGACUGCAACUGACACUGAGGGACGAAAGCUCGGGGAGCGAAAGGG
rnacentral:rRNA from 1 species